rnacentral:rRNA from 1 species
GGAGUACUCCUACGGGAGGCAGCAGUGGGGAAUUUUGGACAAUGGGGGCAACCCUGAUCCAGCCAUGCCGCGUGCGGGAAGAAGGCCUUCGGGUUGUAAACCGCUUUUAGCCGGGAAGAAAAGGCGCACCCUAAUACGGUGCGUUCUUGACGGUACCGGCGGAAUAAGCACCGGCUAACUACGUGCCAGCAGCCGCGGUAAUACGUAGGGUGCGAGCGUUAAUCGGAAUUACUGGGCGUAAAGCGUGCGCAGGCGGUGAGCUGUGUCCGAUGUGAAAGCCCCGGGCUUAACCUGGGAAUGGCAUUGGAAACUGGCUCGCUGGAGUGUGGCAGAGGGGGGUGGAAUUCCGCGUGUAGCAGUGAAAUGCGUAGAGAUGCGGAGGAACACCGAUGGCGAAGGCAGCCCCCUGGGCCAAUACUGACGCUCAUGCACGAAAGCGUGGGGAGCAAACAGGAUUAGAUACCCUGGUAGUCCACGCCGUAAACGAUGGGUACUAGGUGCUUGGGGGAGCGACCCCUUGAGUGCCGGCGCUAACGCAUUAAGUACCCCGCCUGGGGAGUACGGCCGCAAGGCUGAAACUUAAAGGAAUUGACG